UCAAGUUGGUGGUCGGCACUCUAACUGGGCUGGCUUGUGCUGAUUCCAAAGGGGUUUUUAGAUCACUCAAACUGGAUACACUUUCAGAAGAGCACCUAAACCAUCUGACACCUGAUUAUGGACCAGGUGAUGAGAAGCAAGCAUGAAGAAUGAUAGCCAUGGAUACUGGAGGUUUCUAUCAACAUUAGCCACCCUUGCACAUAAUACAAGGAUUCAUAACCCAACCUGAUUUAUUGUGAACCUGAGGGGGCCAUUGUAUUCUCCCUUCCCCCAUGGUUUGUAUUUUUUGUUUUUUAUGGUAUUUAUUAAUGUGGUUUUAUAUUUUUUUUCUGUGGUUUUUAAUAUCUAUCUUUUUAUCUAACUGUUGUACGCUGCCCAGAGUCACUUUGGUGAGAUGGGCAGCUGUAUAAAUUUGCUAAAUAAAAUAAAUAACUAGGAUCAUGCUACUGCACAUAAUCUGUUUGUUCCCACUUUGCUCCUCCAUUCAUGCAAGUGGACAAAAUUAACCAAAAAUGGAGACCUUAUUUGGGGAUCUGACUUUGAAGAUUUUAGCUUUUUGCUGAUGUACAACCUUAACCUGUUUAGGAACAAUAACCCUACAUGCCAAGUAUACAUGCCAUACUGAACCUUCCUCUCCACAUGAUGACCAAUUCAAGUCCAUUGAUUCCAGAUAUGACCAAUCCAUGCCAUGUUAUACGCACCUCCCAUUUUUCUAGGAAAAGAACAUCACAGAUCCUUGGCAUACUGAAUUCUGGGUACAAUAUCAAACAGUGCAGCCGACACAUUAAUAAGAAGCAGGCCUGGGAGGGAAUCUAAUCUUCCCCUAAUGUGAAGGUCAUUUUCACCUUUCACUUUGCAGAAACACUACAACAUUUAUAUGAUACAUGAUUGAGCCAUGAUGGAAAUGCUUUAAGCAAAAGCAGAGCUGUCCUUCAGCCUAAUACUUCCCACAGCUUUAACAAUGUCUAAGCUUGUUCUUAUCAAAUCACAUCAAUUUUAACUCGCUUAGAAUUAUCAGACUGACAUAUAAAACCACAAGAUCUCUCAAGGGAACACCAAACAUAAUGAUGCUACCAUGGG